UACGUAGGUGGCGAGCGUUAUCCGGAAUUAUUGGGCGUAAAGGGUGCGUAGGCGGCCUGUUAAGUAAGUGGUUAAAUUGUUGGGCUCAACCCAAUCCAGCCACUUAAACUGGCAGGCUAGAGUAUUGGAGAGGCAAGUGGAAUUCCAUGUGUAGCGGUAAAAUGCGUAGAUAUAUGGAGGAACACCAGUGGCGAAGGCGGCUUGCUAGCCAAAGACUGACGCUCAUGCACGAAAGCGUGGGGAGC
rnacentral:rRNA from 1 species